rnacentral:rRNA from 1 species
GAUGAACGCUGGCGGCGUGCCUAAUACAUGCAAGUCGAGCGAACGGACGAGAAGCUUGCUUCUCUGAUGUUAGCGGCGGACGGGUGAGUAACACGUGGAUAACCUACCUAUAAGACUGGGAUAACUUCGGGAAACCGGAGCUAAUACCGGAUAAUAUUUUGAACCGCAUGGUUCAAAAGUGAAAGACGGUCUUGCUGUCACUUAUAGAUGGAUCCGCGCUGCAUUAGCUAGUUGGUAAGGUAACGGCUUACCAAGGCAACGAUGCAUAGCCGACCUGAGAGGGUGAUCGGCCACACUGGAACUGAGACACGGUCCAGACUCCUACGGGAGGCAGCAUUAGGGAAUCUUCCGCAAAGGGCGAAAGCCUGACGGAGCAACGCCGCGUGAGUGAUGAAGGUCUUCGGAUCGUAAAACUCUGUUAUUAGGGAAGAACAUAUGUGUAAGUAACCGUGCACAUCUUGACGGUACCUAAUCAGAAAGCCACGGCUAACUACGUG